rnacentral:rRNA from 1 species
GGUUAAGUCCCGCAACGAGCGCAACCCUCGUCUUUAGUUGCCAUCAUUAAGUUGGGAACUCCAGAGAGACUGCCGGUGACAAAUCCGGAGGAAGGUGGGGAUGACGUCAAGUCAGCAUGCCCCUUACGUCUUGGGCUACACACGUACUACAAUGGUCGGGACAACGGGCAGCUAAUCCGCGAGGACAAGCGAAUCCCAACAAACCCGGCCUCAGUUCAGAUUGCAGGCUGAAACUCGCCUGCAUGAAGGAGGAAUCGCUAGUAAUCGCAGGUCAGCAUACUGCGGUGAAUUCGUUCCCGGGCCUUGUACACACCGCCCGUCACACCAUGG